rnacentral:lncRNA from 1 species
AGCUUCCGGAGCAGCUGGGACUGCUGGCGCCCGCCACUACGCUCGGCUAAUUUUUUUGUGUUUUUAGUAGAGACGGGCUUUCACCGUGUUGGCCUAGCGGUUCUCCAACUCCUGACCUCAUGAUCCCCCCGCCUCAGCCUCCCAAAGUGCUGGGAUUACAAGCGUGAGCCACCGCGACCCGCCAACACUCUUGACAACAGUGCUGUGCUAAGAACUUGGGGGACUUCAAAAAGUUCACCAGUUCCUGUGUCCAUGGGUGAAAAGAUUUUCUACAUCUUUCCUUGACUAGAAACAGAAGUCCUGAAACAAGAAUAUAACGUCAGGAGGCCAGAGGCUUUGUCCUGCCUAAUGUGUUAUUUCCACACUGAAUAAAAGCACCUGAGUCCUGGUCUCAGAGUGAGAACAAUGUCUUCUAUGAUGAGUGGCAAACACAACAAGGCAUUUUAAAAAGGUUGUACAUCUAGCAAUACCUAACAAAAUAGGAAAUCAACUUGGAAAGCCAAUGGCUGUGUUUUGAGUUUAUGGAGAGCCAUAUGUGGCAAGGAACUGAGGGUGGCAUCCAGGCAACAGACUUCAAGAAACUGAGGCUGUCAGUCCAACAACCCACAAGAACUGAAUCUGACCAACAAUCACAGGAACAAACUUAGAAGUAUACUCUUUCCCAGACAAACCUUCAGAUGAGACCACAGCCCCAGCCAUAAGCUUGAAAACAAUCUCAUGAGGGACCUUGAGCCACAGGCAUGUAGUAAAGCUAUGCCAGGAAUCCUGCCUGCCCCACAGAAAAUGUAAAAAAAAUAAAUUUUUAUUG